CCAUGUUUCCAUUUUGUCAUAUCUAAUCUGACUGUUAAUAUUUAAUUUUAUUCUGUUUUGUUUCAUCAUAGCCUUCAGAAUGCAUCCUCUGACACUGUGUGACACAGCCCAGCUGUAAAUUUUCUUGCCUGAAGAUUUGUCACUCUACAUUAUUCCUGCAGUAAACACACACAGAAGAAUAAAACCUAGGACCAUGACUCCACAUCACACCAGUGUCACUUUCUUGCCAGCAGAUGGAGGAAACACGUUUGCUUGCAAAACCAAAAGCACACGACUGCAUCUCCCAACCUUCAGCACAUACAAGUGGCCUCCUCCCCCUGACCUCUCAUUUCUCAGCUUUAGAUUAAAUUCCAGAUUUCAGCUUCUCAACUUCAGACUCGUGGAAGGACAUGAAGCCCUUGAGCCUUGGAAAGACCUGAGCCACUCGACCACUCAUCUUCAUUUUAUUGCUUGUUUAUCUUUCCUGCUUUUUCAUGUUCUGGGCUAUUAGCAAGACAAGAAAGGGCUUCUCAUGUCACACAAACAGUGCCCUAUGAUGCACAGGCAGCAGUCACCCAUGUGUUAACCCCAGAUGGGGUUUUGUGGCACCCUGAGCCCAGUAUUCAAAGCCCAUCAGCACAAACUCAUCCAUGCAGAACAGAGCUGCUUGCAUUUAUAUUUUCAGCAACUCAUGAGGGCUGAAAGCAAAGCCUCUGAUUAAUGUGAAUUUGCAAGGAAAGGCCCAGUAGCCACCUCCGAACAUGCUGAGAGACUCCUUAUGCCAUAAAGGAAUGAGAAGUGACUAGGGGAGAGUUUGACUUGACUGGGAGUGAGGUGGGAAAGAGAAAAAAGAGAAUAACAACAACAAAACAGAAAACUUUCAGGCAGCACUUUUAGUUUAGAGAGCUUUUAGUUCAGAUAAGAAGCUCACACAGGGUUGAGCUUCAUUUUAAGGUUCUGAUUUAUCUGAGUUGAGCAUGGCAUCAGCUAAAAUUCAGAAUGAAACUAGGACACAAACUUAAUUGCAAAACCAG
rnacentral:lncRNA from 1 species